GAGCAAUGCAGGUUCGCUGAGAAAAGUGGGAACUGCAGAUGCUGGACACUCCGAGAAAUCAAGGUGUCCAGCUGGAUGAAUAUAACAGGCCAAGCAGUAUCAGAGGAGCAGGAAAGCCUACGUUUUGUGCCUGGCCCCUUCGCUGAGACUAAGGUUUGUGCAAUUGAGAUACCAGCGAUCGUUGCCAAAGCCCUGUUGCGUGUGGAAAAUGUGAUGUUCAACUUUCGCAUGCUGCUGCAGUUCAUAUGAUGAAGGUGCUCCCACAAUGCGGUCAUUAGAGAAGUUACAGAUCAUUCAUCUAGCGAUACUGAAGAGCUGAUGGUGUAUGUCCAAAUCAACAAACUGAUAUUACAAGUGGACUUGCAGGUGGGAAACUCAAUAAUUGUAACACCAAACUCUGACAGAAUUACUCAAUUCAUCAACAUCUGGAUAUUCGCAUUGUGUAUUUCCACAAUUUUACUUCUGCACUGUUCUUAACCUUUUGAUCCCUCUGAAAGACUGAGUUACAAUGCCUGCCCUUCCUCCCUGGCUCUCCCACC